AAAGAGCUUGCUCUUUUCAGAAUUGAGUGGCAAACGGGUGAGUAACACGUAAACAACCUGCCUUCAGGAUGGGGACAACAGACGGAAACGACUGCUAAUACCGCAUAACGUAUCGGGAUGGCAUCUUCCUGAUACCAAAGAUUUUAUCGCUUAGAGAUGGGCUCGCGUCUGAUUAGAUAGUUGGCGGGGUAACGGCCCACCAAGUCGACGAUCAGUAGCCGGACUGAGAGGUUGAACGGCCACAUUGGGACUGAGACACGGCCCAGACUCC
rnacentral:rRNA from 1 species